ACGCUCGACACCUACGGGGGCAGCAGUCGGGAAUAUUGCGCAAUGGAGGAAACUCUGACGCAGUGACGCCGCGUGCAGGAAGAAGGUUUUCGGAUUGUAAACUGCUUUAGACAGGGAAGAAAAAGGACAGUACCUGUAGAAUAAGCUCCGGCUAACUACGUGCUAGCAGCCGCGGUAAUCUGAGCGGGCUGGCAAGGC
rnacentral:rRNA from 1 species